rnacentral:rRNA from 1 species
AUUGGAGAGUUUGAUCCUGGCUCAGAGCGAACGCUAGCGGCGCGCUUAACACAUGCAAGUCGCACGAGAAAGAGGGGCAACCCUUUAGUAAAGUGGCGCACGGGUGAGUAACACGUGGGUAAUCUCCCCCCGAGACUGGAAUAACCCGCCGAAAGGUGGGCUAAUACCGGAUAAGACCACGGGACGCAAGUCCUGGGGUCAAAGGCGGGUCAGCAAUGGCCUGUCACUCAGGGAUGAGCCCGCGUCCCAUCAGCUAGUUGGUGAGGUAACGGCUCACCAAGGCUAAGACGGGUAGCUGGUCUUAGAGGACGAUCAGCCACACUGGCACUGGAACACGGGCCAGACUCCUACGGGAGGCAGCAGUGGGGAAUUAUGGACAAUGGACGAAAGUCUGAUCCAGCGACGCCGCGUGAAG